GAUUGUGAGUUGGAGGAAGAAAAAAGGGGAUACUCCUCUAUAAUUAGGACUCUAGGGGAGCAGAGCGGUUCCCUCCCCGUCAGAAACUUUCAUCGGGAAACGGGCCAUUUGUCCCUGUGCCAUGUGUUACGAACAGUCCUAUGGGUUUCUUCUACAGACUUGACACAAUGUGUUUCUUCUCAUCAUGGAUGAAAGUUACUUUUGCCAUUGCCUUGCUGUUUCCUCUUCAUUCUGAAACUUCUUUUAGGAAGCCACCAAAGUUUCCCAGACCCCCAGACUGUUCCCCAUAUCAACAAAAUGUACGUUGCAAGAUGAUAUGGUAUCCAGUCUG
rnacentral:lncRNA from 1 species